ensembl:ncRNA F54D12.13 ncRNA
CUUAAUGAAUUUCUAAAAAAAUUUGGUCUGCUAGGCUACAAACUACAAAAAAAUGAUUAGCAGACCAAACGAA